AUUGAACGCUGGCGGAAUGCUUUACACAUGCAAGUCGAACGGUAGAGGGGGCAACCCCUUGAGAGUGGCGAACGGGUGAGUAAUAUAUCGGAACGUGCCCAGUCGUGGGGAUAACGUAGCGAAAGUUACGCUAAUACCGCAUACGAUCUAAGGAUGAAAGCGGGGGAUCGCAAGACCUCGCGCGAUUGGAGCGGCCGAUAUCAGAUUAGGUAGUUGGUGAGGUAAAGGCUCACCAAGCCAACGAUCUGUAGCUGGUCUGAGAGGACGACCAGCCACACUGGAACUGAGACACGGUCCAGACUCCUACGGGAGGCAGCAGUGGGGAAUUUUGGACAAUGGACGCAAGUCUGAUCCAGCCAUUCCGCGUGCAGGAUGAACGGCCCGUUCGGGUUAGUAAACGUCGUCGUUUUGUACGGAACGUAAAGGUUGUACUUAA
rnacentral:rRNA from 1 species